CGUCCGUUGUGCCCAUACGAAUACGCUGGAAAUCGCUGAUGGUUUUAGUUUUUUAUUACGAGGGCAAUUCAAAUUUACACCGAACCCUAACCGACCCGAAGAGUGCUGGCUCUAAUUCAUAAUCGGUUGUAUUGCACGGAUGGUAUCCGUUGUGCUCUGAUGACUGUGCUGGAGAUUGUUGUUGAUAGUUUUAGAUUUAUUGCACAGAAUGAGUUGGUUGUAUCCUGAGGAAUGCUUCAAUAAUGACUCUGCCCGUAGGCCAAUCGGUUCUAAUGGAUAACGGAUUUAUUACAAGGAUGGCGUUUGUUGUGUCCUGAGAACUGCUUCGAUAUUGGCUCGGCCUGCUGACCAAGAGUGCUGGCUCUAAUCGUCAACAGAUUUAUUAGACUG